ensembl:snRNA U2 U2 spliceosomal RNA
ACCCCUAACAGCACAGAGAAGGCAGGGUUUCCUUCAAAUGGUUUUUGCGCUCGGGAGUUGGACCCGGAGCUUGCUCCCUCCGCUCCGCGCAUCGUCCCGGUAUUGCAGUGCCUCCGGGAACGGUGCACCCCAA